rnacentral:rRNA from 1 species
CCUACGGGAGGCAGCAGUGGGGAAUAUUGGACAAUGGGCGAAAGCCUGAUCCAGCCAUGCCGCGUGUGUGAAGAAGGCCUUCGGGUUGUAAAGCACUUUCAGUGGGGAAGAAAGCCUUGGGGCUAAUACCCUCGAGGAAGGACAUCACCCACAGAAGAAGCACCGGCUAACUCCGUGCCAGCAGCCGCGGUAAUAUGGAGGGUGCGAGCGUUAAUCGGAAUUACUGGGCGUAAAGCGCGCGUAGGCGGUCUGAUAAGCCGGUUGUGAAAGCCCCGGGCUCAACCUGGGAACGGCAUCCGGAACUGUCAGGCUAGAGUGCAGGAGAGGAAGGUAGAAUUCCCGGUGUAGCGGUGAAAUGCGUAGAGAUCGGGAGGAAUACCAGUGGCGAAGGCGGCCUUCUGGACUGACACUGACGCUGAGGUGCGAAAGCGUGGGUAGCAAACAGGAUUAGAUACCCUGGUAGUC